AAAUGCGCAGAAGUUAGCCGUGAUCCCGAUCCCGGUUCCUCCGGGGUGAGACCUGGCCAUUGCACCUCGGCUGGGUUGACCCCUGCGAUUAUACCUAAUGUGAAAAUUCGUGCGCGUAAUUUUUGGUAGUUAUGGCCCCUAA
rnacentral:snRNA from 1 species